rnacentral:rRNA from 1 species
GAGUUUGAUCCUGGCUCAGAUUGAACGCUGGCGGCAGGCCUAACACAUGCAAGUCGAGCGGUAGCAGGAAGUGCUUGCACUUCGCUGACGAGCGGCGGACGGGUGCGUAACACGUAGGAAUCUGCCCGGUAGUGGGGGAUAGCCCGGAGAAAUUCGGAUUAAUACCGCAUACGCCCUAAGGGGGAAAGCAGGGGAUCUUCGGACCUUGCGCUAUCGGAUGAGCCUGCGUCGGAUUAGCUUGUUGGUGGGGUAAAGGCCCACCAAGGCGACGAUCCGUAGCUGGUCUGAGAGGAUGAUCAGCCACACUGGGACUGAGACACGGCCCAGACUCCUACGGGAGGCAGCAGUGGGGAAUAUUGCACAAUGGGCGAAAGCCUGAUGCAGCCAUGCCGCGUGUGUGAAGAAGGCCCUAGGGUUGUAAAGCACUUUCAGUGGGGAGGAAAGGUUGAAGGUUAAUACCCUUCAGCUGUGACGUUACCCACAGAAGAAGCACCGGCUAACUCCGUGCCAGCAGCCGCGGUAAUACGGAGGGUGCGAGCGUUAAUCGGAAUUACUGGGCGUAAAGCGUGCGUAGGCGGCUUUUUAAGUUGGAUGUGAAAGCCCCGGGCUCAACCUGGGAACUGCAUCCAAAACUGGAAGGCUUGAGUGCGAGAGAGGAGUGUGGAAUUUCCUGUGUAGCGGUGAAAUGCGUAGAUAUAGGAAGGAACACCCAGUGGCGAAGGCGACACUCUGGCUUGACACUGACGCUGAGGUACGAAAGCGUGGGGAGCAAACAGGAUUAGAUACCCCUGGUAGUUCCACGCCGUAAACGAUGUCCUACUAUUUGUCG